CGCAGCCUGAUCAGCCAUGCCGCGUGUGUGAAGAAGGCCUUAUGGUUGUAAAGCACUUUAAGCGAGGAGGAGGCUACUUUAGUUAAUACCUAGAGAUAGUGGACGUUACUCGCAGAAUAAGCACCGGCUAACUCUGUGCCAGCAGCCGCGGUAAUACAGAGGGUGCAAGCGUUAAUCGGAUUUACUGGGCGUAAAGCGCGCGUAGGCGGCUAAUUAAGUCAAAUGUGAAAUCCCCGAGCUUAACUUGGGAAUUGCAUUCGAUACUGGUUAGCUAGAGUGUGGGAGAGGAUGGUAGAAUUCCAGGUGUAGCGGUGAAAUGCGUAGAGAUCUGGAGGAAUACCGAUGGCGAAGGCAGCCAUCUGGCCUAACACUGACGCUGAGGUGCGAAAGCAUGGGGAGCAAACAGGAUUAGAUACCCUGGUAGUCCAUGCCGUAAACGAUGUCUACUAGCCGUUGGGGCCUUUGAGGCUUUAGUGGCGCAGCUAACGCGAUAAGUAGACCGCCUGGGGAGUACGGUCGCAAGACUAAAACUCAAAUGAAUUGACAG
rnacentral:rRNA from 1 species